rnacentral:rRNA from 1 species
UUAAGUCCCGCAACGAGCGCAACCCUAUUGUUAGUUGCCAUCAUUCAGUUGGGCACUCUAGCGAGACUGCCGGUAAUAACCGGAGGAAGUGGGAUGACGUCAAAUCAUCAUGCCCCUUAUGACCUGGGCUACACACGUGCUACAAUGGUUGGUACAACGAGUUGCGAGUCGGUGACGGCGAGCUAAUCUCUUAAAGCCAAUCUCAGUUCGGAUUGUAGGCUGCAACUCGCCUACAUGAAGUCGGAAUCGCUAGUAAUCGCGGAUCAGCACGCCGCGGUGAAUACGUUCCCGGGCCUU